rnacentral:rRNA from 1 species
UACGAAGGGGGCGAGCGUUGUUCGGAUUUACUGGGCGUAAAGGGCGCGUAGGCGGCCCUCCUUGUCGCGUGUGAAAGCCCCGGGCUCAACCUGGGAAUUGCGCGCGAAACGGGGGGGCUUGAGUUCGGGAGAGGAGCGUGGAAUUCCCAGUGUAGAGGUGAAAUUCGUAGAUAUUGGGAAGAACACCGGUGGCGAAGGCGGCGCUCUGGACCGAGACUGACGCUGAGGAGCGAAAGCGUGGGUAGCAAACAGG